AAACCAAAGGGACAUAGAACAUUUAUCACAUACACAGUUGAAAUCUCUGGGAAGAACAGGAAGAGUGCUUCAGCAAGGUAAACAUGAUUUGAUGGAGCCAGGAAAAGAGACUGGUGAGGGUUUUUAUUUUGUUGAGGUUGUAGAGCAGGGUGG